UCGGCCUGAAUGCCUGUGCAAGAAUCACAACCUGGCUGCUCUAAAGACUCCGCACCGUAGUCCCAUGUGCAAGAGCCCCCACUUGACAGCCCAGUGGUUGCCAUGGACAAAGAGAUCCGCGAUACUGAAUGCGGCCAAGCAGUACAAGUUUUUACAUGGACAGUUAACACGAAGUUAUUGACGACAUGCAUGGCUGAAAC